UACAGAGGUCCCAAGCGUUGUUCGGAUUCACUGGGCGUAAAGGGUGCGUAGGCGGUCGGGUAAGUCUGAUGUGAAAUCUCACAGCUUAACUGUGAAACUGCAUUGGAUACUAUCCGGCUCGAGGAAUGGAGGGGAGACUGGAAUACUUGGUGUAGCAGUGAAAUGCGUAGAGAUGUGGAGGAAUACCGAUGGCGAAGGCAGCCCCCUGGGCCAAUACUGACGCUCAUGCACGAAAGCGUGGGGAGCAAACAGG
rnacentral:rRNA from 1 species